rnacentral:rRNA from 1 species
CCUACGGGAGGCAGCAGUGAGGAAUAUUGGACAAUGGGCGCAAGCCUGAUCCAGCCAUGCCGCGUGCAGGAUGACGGUCCUAUGGAUUGUAAACUGCUUUUAUACAGGAAGAAACACCUCUACGAGUAGAGACUUGACGGUACUGUAAGAAUAAGGAUCGGCUAACUCCGUGCCAGCAGCCGCGGUAAUACGGAGGAUCCAAGCGUUAUCCGGAAUCAUUGGGUUUAAAGGGUCCGUAGGCGGUUUAGUAAGUCAGUGGUGAAAGCCCAUCGCUCAACGGUGGAACGGCCAUUGAUACUGCUAGACUUGAAUUAUUAGGAAGUAACUAGAAUAUGUAGUGUAGCGGUGAAAUGCUUAGAGAUUACAUGGAAUACCAAUUGCGAAGGCAGGUUACUACUAAUUGAUUGACGCUGAUGGACGAAAGCGUGGGUAGCGAACAGGAUUAGAUACCCUGGUAGUCCACGCCGUAAACGAUGGAUACUAGCUGUUGGGAGCAAUCUCAGUGGCUAAGCGAAAGUGAUAAGUAUCCCACCUGGGGAGUACGAACGCAAGUUUGAAACUUAAAUGAAUUGACCGGNUGAGAGAGCGAGGACGACACGAGGGAGGAGG